UACGUAGGGUGCGAGCGUUAAUCGGAAUUACUGGGCGUAAAGCGUGCGCAGGCGGUUGUGUAAGCCAGAUGUGAAAUCCCCGGGCUUAACCUGGGAAUGGCAUUUGGGACUGCAAGGCUGGAGUGCGGCAGAGGGGGAUGGAAUUCCGCGUGUAGCAGUGAAAUGCGUAGAUAUGCGGAGGAACACCGAUGGCGAAGGCAAUCCCCUGGGCCUGCACUGACGCUCAUGCACGAAAGCGUGGGGAGCAAACAGG
rnacentral:rRNA from 1 species